GACGAACGCUGGCGGCGCGCUUAACACAUGCAAGUCGAGCGGUAAGGCCCUUUCGGGGGUACACGAGCGGCGAACGGGUGAGUAACACGUGGGUGACCUGCCUCUAGCUCUGGGAUAAGCCUGGGAAGCUGGGUCUAAUACCGGAUAUGACCUCGCGGUGCAUGUUGCGGGGUGGAAAGCCUUGUGCGGCUGGGGGAUGGGCCCGCGGCCUAUCAGCUUGCUGGUGGGGUGAUGGCCUACCAAGGCGACGACGGGUAGCCGGCCUGAGAGGGCGACCGGCCACACUGGGACUGAGACACGGCCCAGACUCCUACGGGAGGCAGCAGUGGGGAAUCUUGCGCAAUGGGCGAAAGCCUGACGCAGCGACGCCGCGUGAGGGAU
rnacentral:rRNA from 1 species